rnacentral:rRNA from 1 species
UACGUAGGGGGCUAGCGUUGUCCGGAAUCAUUGGGCGUAAAGAGCGUGUAGGCGGUCCGGUAAGUCCGCUGUGAAAGUCGGGGGGCUCAACCCUCGAAUGCCGGUGGAUACUGUCGGGCUAGAGUGCGGAAGAGGCGAGUGGAAUUCCUGGUGUAGCGGUGAAAUGCGCAGAUAUCAGGAGGAACACCAAUGGCGAAGGCAGCACUCUGGGACGUGACUGACGCUGAGACGCGAAAGCGUGGGGGAGCAAACAGG